rnacentral:rRNA from 1 species
UGGCGGCGUGCCUAACACAUGCAAGUCGAACGAGAAAGUGGAGCAAUCCAUGAGUAAAGUGGCGACCGGGUGAGUAACACGUGACUAACCUACCUCCGAGUGGGGAAUAACUCCGGGAAACCGGGGCUAAUACCGCAUAACAUCGCAAGAUCAAAGCAGCAAUGCGCUUGGAGAGGGGGUCGCGGCUGAUUAGCUAGUUGGCGGGGUAACGGCCCACCAAGGCGAAGAUCGGUAUCCGGCCUGAGAGGGCGCACGGACACACUGGAACUGAAACACGGUCCAGACUCCUACGGGAGGCAGCAGUGGGGAAUUUUGCGCAAUGGGGGAAACCCUGACGCAGCAACGCCGCGUGGAGGAUGAAGCCCUUUGGGGCGUAAACUCCUUUCGACUCGGACGAUAAUGACGGUACGAGUGGAAGAAGCACCGGCUAACUCUGUGCCAGCAGCCGCGGUAAUACAGAGGGUGCGAGCGUUGUUCGGAAUUAUUGGGCGUAAAGGGCGCGUAGGCGGUGCGGUAAGUCACCUGUGAAAUCUCCUGGCUUAACUGGGAGUCUGCAGGCGAAACUACCGUGCUGGAGUGUGGGAAAGGUGCGU